rnacentral:rRNA from 1 species
ACUCCUACGGGAGGCAGCAGUGGGGAAUAUUGCACAAUGGGCGCAAGCCUGAUGCAGCCAUGCCGCGUGUAUGAAGAAGGCCUUCGGGUUGUAAAGUACUUUCAGCAGUGAGGAAGGUGGAUAUGUUAAUAGCAUAUUCAUUUGACGUUAGCUGCAGAAGAAGCACCGGCUAACUCCGUGCCAGCAGCCGCGGUAAUACGGAGGGUGCGAGCGUUAAUCGGAAUUACUGGGCGUAAAGCGCAUGCAGGUGGUUGUUAAGUCAGAUGUGAAAGCCCGGGGCUCAACCUCGGAAUUGCAUUUGAAACUGGCAAACUAGAGUACUGUANAGGGGGGUAGAAUUUCAGGUGUAGCGGUGAAAUGCGUAGAGAUCUGAAGGAAUACCGGUGGCGAAGGCGGCCCCCUGGACAGAUACUGACACUCAGAUGCGAAAGCUGGGGAGCAAACAGGAUUAGAUACCCUGAUAGGCUCU